rnacentral:pre_miRNA from 1 species
GUCUACCGGAACUACACCUACGACGAGUACUACAAGAAGUUCUGGAGCAGAAACCUCGACCAAGAACACUGCUUGGAGCUCUUCAGAACAACACCUACAGACACAUCUUGAAUUCUUGAUCUAGUCGAGAACUGGUUUGUAGUACUCGGUUGUAGGUGUAGGUGGUGUUU